GGUAGCAGCCAUAUCAUCUCGAGAAUGCCCGAUCUCGUUCGAUUUUGGGAAGCUAAGCAAAUUUAGGCCUGAUUAGUACUUGGAUAGGAGACAGUGUGGAAGAUCAGGUGUCCC
rnacentral:rRNA from 1 species